AAGAGGUUGAGGGGCGGGUGUGGAAGUGUGGCUGCUGGAUGAACCUCGUAGAUUUCUGUUGCUUAUCCAUGGGCUGGAGUCUGGGUGAUGGGCGGGAGAAGGUUGAGCUAACUUCAGGGCCCACGAAUACCAUUUAAUAGGUUUACCCUGUUUGUGUUUAUAUGUAGCUCUUUUUCUCAGGUUUUUAUAAACCACAAGAUCUGUUGGGAAUAAGUGAGCCCAUUCUAUGAAACGAACUAUGCAGCAUACUGAACAAUUAGCUUAGCCUGAUAUACAGAUUUAACUUUUUAAUGAGGCUUGGCUACCCAAAACCUCACCAGGUAGAGGGGUCUCAGUUGCAAACGUCUGGCACUGUGUCUGUAACUUUCAUCUAGCUCUGCUGCUGUCCUCUGUUGUCUGUGUGGCUUUCUGUUGCCUUCGGUUUCUUUCCACCUUUGUCUCAUGCUGACCCGUCCCUCCUUGUAUCAAAACUGAUGUACUAAUUACAGAGAAUCAUCAGGCUCUAAGUCUGCAGUUGCUUGAAGUUGUGCCUUUAAAGUACAAAGACUUCUUUAACUGUAUUUUUAUUGCUGUAGCUAUUUCUGUUCUGAUGUGCCACUGCAUAAAUCACCACAGAUGCUAGAACUGUGAAGAUAUGUGCUUUGCAAAACACUUGCUGCAAAAUACCUGUUAUGCUUCCUGCAGGAUGUUUUUCUUACAUGAAGCAGCAAACCUCUGUGUGCUGGGCUACAUGGAGAAGCAGGGAGGCAGAGUGGGGAAAACUGUGGGCUCCAGAGGCAGGCCCUGACUGGAACCACUUCUUGACUGAACAGUCUUGGAACAGUGGUUCCCAUUUGUAACAUGGAUAUUACAUGUUUCCUGUGACUCCUAUAACAAAUUACCGCAAAGUUAGUGACCUAGAUCAACACAGAUGUAUUAUGUUGCAGUUCUAGAGGUCAGUGAUCUAAAAUCAAGGUGUCAGCCAGGGUGCAUUCCUUCUAGGAGCUCUGGAGGGGAGGGUGUCUCUGCAUCCUGUGACUUAUGGACCCCUUCCUUCAUCUUCAAAGCCAGCAGUCCAGCGUCCUCCAAUCUCUUCUGUUCUGGCUUUCAUCACCAUGCUCCUUCUCUGACUUCAAGCUUCCUGCCUCCCUUUUGUAAGGACCCUUGUGAUUUCACUACGACUACCUGGGUAGCCCAGGCUAGUCCCCAACUCAAGAUCUUUAGCUUAAUCACAUCUUCAAACUCCUUUCUUUUCUUUUUUUUUUUUCCAUAUAUAGUAGCAUGUAUAGGUUCUGGAGAUUAGAACCUGGAUGUCUUUGGGACAGCCAUUAUAAACCCACAGCAUGGGGUUGUGGGAAGAUUAGUUGGGUUCGUACUAUGGAUGAACUCAUGUACCCAGCUCAUGUACCCAUUCCCCUGCUGCAUGAACCAGUGCUCUUAAUGACACAGUAUAAGAAUGGAUAUUUGUAGCAAUUAAUUUAUGGCAUCUAGGAAAGAUGAAAUCACUUUCUUUUUCAAAUACUCUCUUAUUAGGAAGGCACAGUGCAAUAGUUCAUAUUUAAAGAGUAUCACUGUUGAAAGGGUAAAAGUCAAGUCUUCUGAAAAAAAAGGUUAAGUCAAUUUUCUAAAAACUCUUGAAAAUUUACUUAUGUAAAAUACCACCUUUCUCAGUAAGACUGGAUAAGCAGCAUAAGGAGGCAUUUUUCCAUUUAUGCCUCUAGAAUAUUAUUACUAAUAACAGUUGAGAUUUAUGGAAAUUCUUUCCUCUAAGUACGUUAGAGUUCCUUCAGGUUUGUGGUACACAAAAAUGUGAUUUGGCAGGGAUGAUUUAAUUUAGCAGAUACUUCAAACAAGUUGCUUUAAAUCCCAAGGAAUUUUUCAUUGCUGUCUCUCUCUGUGUUCUGAUGGAAUCCAAAUGUCAAAAGCUGAAGGUGACUUUUUAAGAUUUUUUUUUUCUGCCAUUCCCUUCCAUCUUAGUUUUACAUAGAACUCUAAAGUAAGGCAGCUGUAGUCAUCCUCAGGGAAACUCGGCAAGAGGACGAGGCUGUGGUAAGAAACAAAGGGAACAACAGGUGCUGCACAUACUCUGAGUGCCAAACCACCUGGCCGAGGCUUUGCAGAUCCGACAGUGGCCUGCCCACAGCUGCCAGGAGGCGGGAGUGAUUGCCUUUCUUUUUAGGAGCAGAGAAUGGGAGCUCAGAGUGUCGAUGUUUUGCAGUUGAGCUUCAGAGGUCUAGGGCAACAUGGUGCUUCUGUGUCUGGCUGGGAAUAACUUCCUGCUUGAGCCCUUCAGCAAGGAAGGUGCCCUGCUGGCUUCCCCACCUACUACACUAAUAUCUCCCUUUCCUGCCACGUGGAGAGUCCACAGGAAGCAAAGUCCCACCUCCCUUAGGUUUGGCCUUGUCUCUUUAUCUAGCCUGAGGCAGGAUAACAAGUAUUCCUGUUUCUUCUUUCCCUCUCCUGUUUUCAAGAAGCCUCCUACCUUUCUAAUAGGAUAGCCUGGGUAACUUUGUACCUGGAUAAGGCUGGUGUAAAGAGCAGAGCUCAGGAUUCUCUGACACCAGACCCUGUGCUAGCUUUCACUGUCUGGUGAUCCUUGGAAUUCAGCCAGCAUCCGGUUGCCAGGCUCAGGCACUGCUCAAAAGGACAGAGGUCAGCUUUGCUCCAUCAACCAUGGACAUGCAGCCCAGCACUCAAGGUUAGGCAAAAAAAAGAGGCUCCUUCCAAAAGCACACUUGAAAGUGGAGAGAGAUUUUGCAAAGAUGUACCUCACCUUUGGAGAGAUGAACAGAAAUAAUGGACAUGACAUUUUUGCUGCCUGCAUCCCCAUCUUUGAAGGAGAGUUCAACCAGAUCACAUAUUUUUUAGGGAAAUGGAGCUCCUGGUGAAAUACUGUGUUUCUAGAAAGAGCUGCAGUGUCUGCAGUAGAAACUUCCAGCAAGCCUGGCACUCAGAAAGAUGUCUAACUGAAAUCCACAGGGCUAGUAACACUGAUGGAGUCCUUUUUCCUUCCACUGCCAACAUCAGCCUGCAUAAUCUACAAACAGUUCUCAAAGUUUAUCUUUGAACUACACAACCUAUCUUUCCUUUCUUAAAUGAACUUGUUGCCAGUUCUCAAGAACCUUCUAAGGAAGGUGGCCUAUUUUGUUGUUGUGUUAGUUUUCUUUUUAUGUUUUUAAAAUUAAAGUCACACACACACACACACACACACACACACACACACACAGAGUUCAGAAGUGCACACCACAAGGGAUUGUUACAAAGGAGGCACACCUGUGUAGCUACAGCCUAGAAGAAGAAACAGCACAUUGCCAGCCUCUUGGAAAUUUCUUCCUCCCUGCAACCUGAUUGUCCGUCUCUCUUCCCCAGAGGUAACUACUCACUCCUCUGACUUCUAGCACCGUAACUUGCUUUUCCCUGUCUUUGAACUUCAUAGAGUUGAUUCAUACAAUAUGUGUUCUUUUAUGUCUGCCUUCUUCCUUUUCACAUUAUGCUUAUGGGAUUCAUCUAGGUUGUUAUGAUUUUGACUUUCACCAUCUGGGCCUGAGGGCCAAAUAAAGAAUUUCAUAAGGAAAUGAGAUUCUAAAUUCUGGAGUUUCUGACCAGGGAGUCUUUGUUCCCACAGUCAGCUUCCCCGCCACUCCCCCCCCCAAAGUGACAGUAUUUUUGCAGUAAUCUUGGAGUGUGUGUUCUGCAAGAGUGUUUCUCCAAAAAGUCGUAUGACUCAGCUUUGUUUUGUCUUUAUUUAUAAGACGUUACUCAAAAUGACAUUUGACUGUUGACAGAAAUUAAAUCCUGCCCCAGAGGACAAGAAGUGACUACUCCUGAGACUUUCACAAAAUUAGGCUACUUGCUGUUUUUUGUGAAGAAGAGGGAGAAAGAUGCUUUGUCAGAAAGAACACCAGAAAUCAGUGCACAGCCAGUCAAGACUGGAGUGCUGUUUUUUAAAAGAUGGUGAACUUUCAAGUUCAGAAGCCAUUGGUAUCAUUUUAUGUCUCUGCAUUGAAAGACCCGUCUUCUGGUCUGUAUGCAGUAGCAGAUGAAACGUCUCAGCCUUUCAGAGAUGGAGGCUAAUUAUCUGAAAAGCUUUUCUGUUAGAGCACAGACAACACGAAAACAAUGUUCAUAAAAAUCCAACCGCUUCCUGCAACACGAUUGUAUCACCUAACAAAGGAUUCUUUAAAAAUCUUUAUUCAUGCUCAUAUGGAGUGGUUAUAUAGUUGUAAUGAAAGUGUAUCAUUCUUACAGUUCUUACGGACUUGAAAUUAACAUUAUAGUAAUUCUUUGUUGCUGUACAGUUCAUUAAUAGGGUUUAAGAGUUGCAUGUUGCACUAAGGUGAUCCAUGAGUUGCAGAACCAUUCCCUUAUUUCUGGACAAUGUGUUAUUUUUGUUUUUUCUCCCAUUAUUAUAACUUAUGUGGCAGGAGGUUCUUUCUGGCGUAUAAACUUUUUCUUAUUUUGAAUUAACUCCUUAGGACACAGUUCCAGGACCAGGGUGGCUAUUUUGUUUUCGUGGUUUUAAUCGUGCGUUGUGCUGCCUACAUACUUUUCAAAAAAUUGUAGCAGAAAUAAGAAAGUAUCCCAGCUUAACUCUUUCAUUUUUAACACUUUGUUAUUAAAAAUGUCUAGUUUCUUAGUUUAAUGGGUAUCAAAUCUUACCAUGUUGUAAUCUUUAUUUGUGUGAUAGCUCAUAAAAUCAAACAGGUAUUGUGACCGUUAAAUGAAUUAAUGGUCAUAAAGCGUUUGUAGCAUUGGUUCAUAGUGCUGUAUAUAAGAGUAUGCUGUCACUGGACUUUUUUCAAUUCAGUAAAUCUGAUUCUGUUCUCUCUAGAGAACAUUGUCUGGUCAUGCUCUAUUUUUGUCUGCUUUCCAGAGUCUUGGUGUUUUAUAGUCAUACAGUCACUGGUUCAUUCAACAGCUGUACUUCUUGGACUCUUGGUUGUAGUUGACAGAAACUCUUUUGAGGUCACAAGCUAACAAGGGGCAUUUAUGGUAAAGUUACCUGGGAUCUUACAGAGACUCAGAGUCUCUGUGUUUGAGUUCCUUCUUCCCAGUGCUGUGUUCACCUGUUCCUUAUGCGUCUGGCCUUCAUUUUUCUGUCUUAGCGUAACGUCACUUCCUCACAGAGGCCUUCCCUGACCGCCUGGCCACAUGGCCGCACCCUUUCCACACUCCCUCAUGCUGCACCAUGGCUCCUUGCCUUUGGGCUGUUGCAAUCGGUAAUUGUUUGCUGGACUUUUUGCUGGUUGUCCGUUUAGGUAAUGAGCCCCAGAGGCAAGGACUCUGCUGUCUUGUCCUCUCUUAUCUCCUGGGCUCAGGCGUGGUCCUGGCACCCAGCAGCCCCUCCGUGAAUGCUUGCUGAGUGAAUGGACAUGGCCAGCCAGGUGACUGUCUUCGUCUUCCACUUUUGCUCCUCUCUGCUUCCUUACUUCAUUCUGAUGUCCUGUCUCUGUCUCUCUUUGCUGUGCUCUCCUCUCGCGGCCUGCAGAUUGGCCUGUUGACUUGGUUCACCCACAGAGUAAAAAGACAACUCCCAUCCACUCGUGAGUUGCAAGCUUUGUAUCUGGACAGUUUAGAUUCCUGGCUCAGCUAGGGUCUCUUGUCCACUGUGGUCCAAUCUCCUGUGACUUUGAGUGUGGAGAUGGUCAGUAGGACCACGUAUCACUGGUGCUUGUGAUGCCCUGUGUGACAGUGUUGGUUAUGGGAAGGGGAGAAAAGGUGGCUAAGCAGACCUCAGAAUGGGGUGCUCCUAUAAAUUAGCUGCUAGCUUUACCUCCAGCAUGCUCUCACCUCCAAGCACUGAGGAUGUGGCGUGAAAACUGCACAGUAUUGUCUCAGAGUACCCACAACCUUCAAGGGUGCCGGACGGACGAACCAAAGGUAAAUCAGUGCACUGCUUCGGCAAUUACAGCCACAGCCCAAACCCAAGAUCUCCGCUGUCCUGAGGUGAAAAUUCUAGUGAGUGAGAUGGAUAAUCAGUGCUAUAAAUCAAUGAAGUAUGUGAUAUAUUACAAUGGAAAUACUGAAGACAUCUAAAAUAUUAAGAAAACUGAGAGAUGAAAAGAAAAAUAUGAAUAUGAAAGGAUUCCAUUUCAAUAUGAAAAUAGAAGCUGAGAAACGCUAAAAAAUGAAUCAGUAAAGGGGCAUGUGGACUGUGAUUUUAAACAGAAUGGUCUGAAAGGAUUCGGUGUGAAGGUGACAUUUGAACAGAGACUUGAAGGAGAUGAGAUGGCACAGCACAACAUAUCUGGCAUGGGCACCCCAGGCUCUGGGAACAGCAGGUGCAGAGACCUGGAGGUGGGUGGGUGAGCUGCGUCUGUGGGGUGGAGAGAGGAGUGGAUAGUGCAUGAGCUCAGAGAGGUGACAGGGAGCCACACCCCAUUGUGCCCUGUGGCCGCUGCAGAGCUCCUGGCUUUUGUUCUGGGUGGAGAUGAGGCCAGACAGGGUGCUGGGAAUAGGAGCAGGAGCUUUCUGCAAUUCUGCUGUUGUAACUGCUUACUUACACUUUGCUGUAAUUGUACAACCCUUUUCCUUUGCUCUGUUUUUAUGCUUAUUGUUUUAGGCUGGCUUAAGUAGAACUGAAUAUUUGUAUUGUCUCAAGGAGUGUCAGGGAGGUAAAGAUUUGGAGGGCACUAUAGUCAGCUGAAUGGUCCACUGCGGGAUCACCUGUAGGCACCCCCAGCCUCAUCCUUCAGGGGACUGCUUUUCAGAUGCUUGCAGGCCCAGUCCCUGAGUCCAUCCUCACAGCAGGCAGGGAUUACCUCCCCAUUUUUCUAAUGGGGCCUUGAGUAGCAUAGACGAAAGAACCCAGGGUCUCUCACGGUGAGCAGGACAGGGCCAGAAAGAGAACAUCGUUCCCUUGCAACUGGCCCUUCUCGGGCAGCCCUUUCUGAUGAGCAGUCACCUUAUGUGUUAGUGGCACAGAUAUGCCAUUGCUGGUAUAAAUUCCUCCUUCCAUUUGGGAAUUGUAUCACACCCUUAUUGGCUGAAAAGAUUCUUAUGGGGCUGUGAAUGGGGGUGUUGGGGUCAACAGAUAGGAGGCCAAAUCUGGGCUCUGCCACUUACCACUUUGUGACCUGGCAAGCUACCCAGGGUCUCGAUCCCAGGUCCUCACCCAUGAAAGGGUGACACUGCCAGCUUCCUGGGCUUUUGGUGCGUGGUGAGAUUGUAUACAUCAUGCCCCAGCACAACUUGUGAUGCCUAGUAGUCCAGUGGGUAGACCCAGCCAGGUAUAUUUUGGGGAAAGAACAGUCAGCCUCUUUUCUUUGUAAUCAUUCUUUUCUUCCUUUGGGAUGCUGGGUGGUUCUCAUCCACAUACAGCCAUUUGAUGUGCAUCUCCCAGCACUCUGAGGUCAAUCUCACCUCGAGUAAAUACUAGGAUUUGCAGUUAACUCAGCCUGUAAGUCUCAGAUGUCUCUUGAUAGAAAGCCAUCUGAUGGUCUCAAAGUAUUGCUCUUUUAUGAUUAGUCAUGAAUCUGCAUCCCAUUAUUUUAAUUAGGCAGCAAAAAAUUGUGUCAGGUGCUCUCCUGGGCCUGUUUGAUAGGGGCUGUCAGUGGUUGCUGAAAACAUCUGUAACAUUUAUUGCCAGGGCUCUGAUGCCUCAGUAAGGGAUGGCUUUUAGGUGCUGCCUUCUUUCCUUGUCUCUUGCAGAGCCUUGGAAUUACAUCCAUAAAAGGCUGACUCUUGAUUUCAAACGAGGCAAUCCCAUUUAUUCAUUUCAGAGCUCCUUUUUUACCACUUAAUCUAUUACUCUUUGACCCAAGUAUUUGAUAAUGAAUGACAGAAUAUUUAUCAGCUCAGAGAAUGGUUCCAUCAGCUUUACUCUAGUGGUGAAGAACACAGCAUGAUUUUGCCCAGGCUGCCCAAUGUGAUGAUGCUGUAUGCACAUGAGCCGUGCGUCAGUGGAGACGUGUGUUUAGCUGAGAUUUGACUGGAGAUGUGUAGAAAUCUGACCUCCUGUGUUUGAAAGAAGAUGUUGCUAUAUAUUUUUUAAAGUUGUAAUUUGUCUCUAAUUAUAACUUAUAUGCCUUAGAAGUGAAAAAUUUUCCUCACACUUCAGGCUUGUAGAAUUAAUGAAAUUUAGAAUUUUGGGUUUAGUAACUAGAAUAAUUGAUACAACUGUAAUACUAAUAUUUAUUUCCUUUUGCUGCUUUUAGUGAGAGUGUUGUUCAUAUAAGAUGUACAGAAUUUUUGCUCAGUUCAGUUUAAUGAAAUGCAUGGAAUAUAUUCAGUCUGUAUGUGCAUUCAUGCCCUGAGGUACCCAGAUGAGUAGGAUGUGUCCCUGCCCAUGUUCAGCUGAAGGCAGCCCCUGCCUUAUACGAGGCUGUAGAGGUGGUGCAUAGACUGAAGCAAGUGGAUAGUGUAUAGGGGCCUGUGGAGGGCUGGCUCCUGGCCCAAUUACAAGAGCAUUCAAUUUGAGUUCUGAAUUAACAGGAAGAAUGGCCAGGUGCUGCCAGACAGUGCAUUCCAGGCAUGGAAAAUGUUAGCAAAGGCUCAAGGGGUCUGAGAUUGCAGAAGCAAGGCAGAAAGUUUGGAGAACUCAGGGAGUUCAGUGUUAUGAGCCUAAAUACAGAGGGAACAGGCACAAGAGGAAGCCAGAGGGGCGGGGUGGGCAGAGUUGGUUCUGAUCCUGGAGGGCCUUCUCUGCUAAGCUCUGGAACAUCAACUUUUUUUUGAAGUUGAGGACAUUGGUGGGUUCUGAUGGCUGGACCGUGGGAUGGUUUAUGCUGUAGAUCAUCUGGAUAGAAGAUAAGGCAUCAGGAUGCAUGUGUGGAUAAAUGGGUGGAUUGUGGAUAAUGGAGGGAUGGAUGGAUGGAUGGAUGGAUAGAUGGUAGAGUUUUAUGAAGGCAAGGAAACCAGUUUAGGGGCUUUUGCUGUUGUCCAAGAAGGAAAUGAGGAGAACCUAAACCAGUGUGGAGGUAUUAGAAAUAGAGAGAAAUAGACAGAUAUGAGAAAUAUAUAGGAAAUGAAAUCAGGUGCUGAA